rnacentral:ribozyme from 1 species
AGAAAGAAAAGAAGAAAAAGAAAGGACAUAUAGUCUGUCUGUCUGUUUCUAUAUUUCCGUUUUUGUU